rnacentral:rRNA from 1 species
GACGAACGCUGGCGGCGUGCUUAACACAUGCAAGUCGAACGGAAAGGCCCUGCUUUUGUGUGGUGCUCGAGUGGCGAACGGGUGAGUAACACGUGAGUAACCUGCCCUUGACUUUGGGAUAACUUCAGGAAACUGGGGCUAAUACCGGAUAGGAGCUCCUGCUGCAUGGUGGGGGUUGGAAAGUUUCGGCGGUUGGGGAUGGACUCGCGGCUUAUCAGCUUGUUGGUGGGGUAGUGGCUUACCAAGGCUUUGACGGGUAGCCGGCCUGAGAGGGUGAACGGCCACAUUGGGACUGAGAUACGGCCCAGACUCCUACGGGAGGCAGCAGUGGGGAAUAUUGCACAAUGGGCGGAAGCCUGAUGCAGCAACGCCGCGUGCGGGAUGACGGCCUUCGGGUUGUAAACCGCUUUCGCCUGUGACGAAGCGUGAGUGACGGUAAUGGGUAAAGAAGCACCGGCUAACUACGUG